rnacentral:rRNA from 1 species
UACGGGGGGGGCAAGCGUUGUUCGGAAUUACUGGGCGUAAAGGGCUCGUAGGUGGCCAACUAAGUCAUACGUGAAAUCCCUCGGCUUAACCGGGGAACUGCGUCUGAUACUGGAUGGCUUGAGGUUGGGAGAGGGAUGCGGAAUUCCAGGUGUAGCGGUGAAAUGCGUAGAUAUCUGGAGGAACACCGGUGGCGAAGGCGGCGUCCUGGACCAACACUGACACUGAUGAGCGAAAGCCAGGGGAGCAAACGGG